UACGUAGGGACCAAGCGUUGUCCGGAAUCAUUGGGCGUAAAGAGCGUGUAGGCGGUUUGUCGCGUCUGCUGUGAAAAUCCGGGGCUCAACCCCGGACUUGCAGUGGGUACGGGCAGGCUAGAGUGUGGUAGGGGAGACUGGAAUUCCUGGUGUAGCGGUGGAAUGCGCAGAUAUCAGGAGGAACACCGAUGGCGAAGGCAGGUCUCUGGGCCACUACUGACGCUGAGAAGCGAAAGCAUGGGGAGCGAACAGG
rnacentral:rRNA from 1 species